GUGCGCGUCCUGCCGGAAGCCACCGCGCUGGGCAGGAAGCAGCGAUGAUGAGGGGCGCUGGGCCUCCACCGCUCCCUGGAUAAGCCCGGGCUUAUCAAAGGAAGCAUCAAAUAACAUUUGGUGUCCCUCCACGGUGGUCCAAAUCCAUCUGGAGAUGGCUACGCAAGUCUGUGUCUAGCUUUGCACGUCUUGUACUUCUGUGCUGGUUCUGCGUGUGUCAACUUUUCCUUCUCCCUGGGAGCCCUUGCUCGACCAUUUUCCACGUCCACCUGGACUUCUCAGUACCCACUCUUGCCGAUCUGGGGGCACUGGAGACACUGAUCUCUUAUUUUAAAACCAGAAUCAGUGAGUGGACUUUGAUGCGGAGAAUUUUUCAUUGCAGCCAACUUUUCCAGCGCGUCUGCAUUCCUUCAUUCCCCACGUGCUCCAUGCCAGGGGCUCUCGUGUUAGGAGAACCGGAUGCAAAGGGUGAACGAGCCUGGUUUGGGGAGCUUAUCAUUCAAGAACAUUCCAAGGGCAGGAGGUGCUGUUCAGAGCACCAGGGCAGGUUGGUGGGAAGAGCACCCCUGAGGAAGGGCACACAGCCCAUCUGCCUUCGUGGUGAACCCUGAGCCCAAGGUUAGAAUUUCCCCCAAAACAUCUCCGCCUGCAAAUCUCUAUUUCUCAUUCCUUACUCCCAGACCCUUAAAAUACUCAGUGCAGAGUCCAAAAAUCUAAAAGCAAAAAACAAAACCACCAUAAAGAAAACCCCAAACUCUUCCAACCUUCAAACUCCACCUUUUGACCUAAAAAGCAAAAUGUUUCUAAAGCAGAACAAGCUCCUUUCAGCGGGAGAAAACUCCGAACUCUAAAAGGCGAGGAAUCCAGCGUCUGUUCUCUACCACGUGAGCACCAAAUACCAAGGAACCAUCCCGGACCAGGAGGCCAGCCCGCACCAGCUGCUUCAAAGAGGCUGCUCUCUCCCGAAGGCUUAACACAGUGACCCCAGCAACUCGGAGGGGCAGCGGGGAGCUCCAGCGAGCGCGUUCCAUGCCCAGUGCCAGACGGCCCUCGCCACGGCAUUCACACCAUUAAAAUCCCAUCUUCGGAGGCUGCCAAGUGUCAGCGGCUGCCCUGUCCCUCUUAAAUAGCCAUACUUUCAUGCAACUAAAAAAUAAAAAGGAAAGAAGGGGAAAGUUCACUAGACUCAAAAAUGUGGAAUAAACUGUACCUCUCCCCGCAGAUAAAUAAAACUGGCGCAGCCCUAGUGGCAAAGACUUCAAACAAACAGGGCUGCUUCCUCCUUGGCUCUGUGUCAUCUUUGAGCUGAGGAGACGCAUCCAUCAGCAACUCUCCACAUAGAAGCCCACAGCCCAGGGUCUCUGCCCUCCCCGGCCACCUUCGGGGCAACAGCUCCCACUGCAGCCCCAGGGGACAGUGGCUUUUCAGCCUGGUCCCCUCAUCCUCCAGUUCGGGAGUUUGGAGACCUGAACCCUUUUCUUUUCCUUGGCAUGUUUCAUUUACAAUGAUUAUGCUCAACAGUGUGAAUGUUUACCAUAUGUUGGUUGUGUGGCAAAAUAUUCUGGCUCCCCUAAAAAGUCAGGUCGCUGAGUCACGCAGCUAGAGAAAUCUUGGGGGAGGUCGUUAGCAGCAGCUGGGGCAGCACGGUGCCCUCACAGCCUCCUGGAGGGACACGGGAGGGGAGGCAGGGCUGAGAGUUAGACCUCGGCCGGAGUCCCCAACUGCCGGAGCACAGCGGUGCUCACGGGACAGCAGAGCCGUGUUGAGAUUCCCUUGGCCAGAACCUUGCUUACUCUGGAGAGAAAGCAGGGACGGAGCCCGGGCAAUGAACAGGACCAAGGAAACUUGCGGACAGAAACACUAUUCAAUAAAAACGAAAAGCAGAACUCAGUCACCAUCAAAACACAAAGAUUGCUCCAACUUAAUUUUUAUUAGUCCUUCAUUCUCUCCAAUAUUACAUGACUAGCUUCAAAAGUGAGCAAGCGAGUUUAUUUUGAUGAUAAAUAUCAUGGAUUUAAAUGGAAUAUGAGCAAGCGCAACUGGCGAAAUCCUGCAGCUCUGGCAACGUCCCCCAAGGUGAGAGGCUGCCUUCUAUCACGACACGGCCACUCCCAGUCACCACAUGGCCAGGACUGGCGGUGAGUACAAAACGCUAGAAAACGCCGCACACCGAGGCCGGCGGGCUGGAGGGCGAGGCUCCCGAGUUGCAUGUGCCUGAGGAUCACGGGGGAUCUCGUCUCCGACGCCGGCUCCAAGGUCGCAUUUCCUCCUCUGCUCUCAGCUCAGGGAAUGGGGCGUGUUGCUUAACGCGUGAUCCGAGGAGUGCCCAGGAAUCCUGUGGAAAGUCUAAAUUCCUUGGGCCUCCUCCCCACUCUGCCCCAGAUUCUUACGGGAUAGACAGGGCAGGGCGGGGCGGGGGAGGGAGAGAGCACGGAUCCAUAUUUUCCAGAAGCCUCUGGACCAUUCUCGUCAGGUUUUCCCCAGCAGUGCUUUCAGGAACAAAACAGCCAAGUCCCACUACCGCCUCGGCGGCUGUCAGUGCUGAGCAGGCGUGGAAAUGCCGUUUAUGGGUUUUCCUAGUCUACCCCACACAAGAAUAAUUUUCCGCACUAUUUCCCCAUAUGGGACUGAAAAACAGGAGCCAGGAGAUGAAACUGCACAGGGAGCGGGACUGGCCACCAUGACUUCGCUCCCUGGUGCCUCAGGGGCUCUGGGACCUCGGACAUGUUGCCCAACAUCUCUGAGUCCGUUUCCCAGGGGCCGUGGUGAGGACCGGGUGCACAGCCCCGGCCUGGCCCAGCUCGCGCCCGGCCCUCUCCUCCUCCACUGUUGUCAAGCUCCAGUCACCGGGAACAGGGAGGACACAAACGUCAUUCUUCUGAGCAUUAUCACUCCAUGAACGGGGUUGAGUGUGAUCUCUCAAGGUGGAAAUUGAAAAACUACUCAAACUGCCCAAAAAACUUCUAGAUUAGCCAAAUAUCGACCCCUCGGCAGGCAUGGACUUCAAAGAAACAGUAUUUUUUAAAAUAAAUCCAGUCAUGCAGGCUGA